AGCUGCUCAUUCUGUCACGUCGGUGGCGCUUGGUUUCCUGUAGGCGUUAAGCCAAAUAACCAAACUGUGGAGACAGAGCCAGGCUUAGCUUGGUUUAAAAAAUGAAUUGUGGUACCAGCCUAGUGGAAAUUUCCAGUAUUGAAUUGGAAGAAAUGAAAGCUGUGUUUUUAAAGAAUGAAAAUGAACAUUAACCUUCUAAUUGCAGUAGCAGAGGUGGGAACCGGGGUGAGGAAGUAGACGCAGCGUCUUCUUAACUCUGUAAUAUUCCCGAAGCAUCCUGGGCUUCUUUAAAAUGUAUCCGCUACCCCAGAUGCACACAGAGGAAGCCAAUGGUCUGAAACAGAACUGCCGCAGACCAACCUCUGAUGGCUUCCGUUGUUUUCAGGAGCAACUGUCUGUCAAGCAGAAGUUGUCCCGGGAGCACGCCCGGCAUUGUAACAGACACAGGACCGCCGACACUGCAUUGUGAUGUGCUGUGGUCCACCUGCGGCCUCAGGAAGCGUUCUUCUUGAUCCAAAUGGAAGCUGAUUAGAAAUAGAAAUGAACACAAGAACGUCGCUGGAAACUCUCCAUAUUCGUCGACUGUUUUGGAAUUUAAGUGCUUCAGACCUGCUUCCUAAGUGGGCUUGUUGAUGCCUUAGGUCAGGUUGUCAACACUCACUCCGUCUGGGCUGUUUCUGUUUCCAGAACAAAGAACGCAUUUCUGUUGCCCUCUGCCUGGAGCUCCUGCCUGGGUCUCGCCCCUCUGCGCCCUCCUUCCUUAAGGACAUCAUCCUUGUGACACCUAAAGGAGCCUUCCCGGCCCUCGCUGCCCACAGCUUCCCUGUGGCCGUGGUCUCCAGCUGGGCAGACCUGAAGCCCCCCUUUACCCACCGUAAACCCUUCCUGCUCAUCUGUCUCCCUUUGGGUCUCCGCCAAGUCCAAGUGAUGGUGGCUGACUCCCUUCGUACAGGAAGUUCAGAGCAAAUUCCUUCUGCUUGUUCUCAGAUUCACUUCACUGGACUUCAGGUGGGACCCAAGAAUGUGCACAUUUCUCCAGAUGAUGGUUUCAGCCAGUUGGCCUGGGAGACUCUUGACUGACAGCGAUGCGUUCAUUGAUCAGUAUCCCAGCGAGAAAACAGAAGAGUGGCCCCUGGCACCUCAGCUCGGCGCUGGUGCCCUCCUGUGAAACACAGACGGUCACAGGACAUGGACAUCAGGGAAGCCCACCCAGCCACCAGGACGGAUCCUGCCACAACCACUCCGUAAUCUUGUCCAAACACGGACAAACGCACACCCUCGCCGCGCCACAGGCCGCAGGCAUCUCGCUCUGCGGCUGAAACGAGUAACUGUGGCCACUUUACCAACGUCAGGGGUGGCCUGGCUCUGCUCUGCCCUCCUCCCAGAGAAGCCUGAGAAGAAUGCCCAGUCAUGAAUCACCCCCACUUGCUGGCAGCAUCCUGUCCGGAGCAAAUUCCUGCUUCUUUGAACUCUCCUCAAAUCACCCAACACCAACCCAAACCCCACUAACAGGCUUUUUCUGACACCCUCUCACUGAGAUGCCCCAUGGGUCCCCCACAAUGAGCAGCUCAUUCAGAUGCAGGUGUUUUCUGGGGGCCCUUAGGCUGCUGGGAUGCAGCAUUGUGUCUGGCACUCGGCAGAUAUUUGAAAAUGGACGCAUAAGCUCGAAAAAUAACUGUAUUGACAUUUUUCGGUGUAAUCAGUUCUUUGGAAUCAGGGAAAAGGGAAAAAGCAAAUUGACUUGAAAAGAAUCAUCAUGCAUACUACAUAUAGUUAACUAUGAAAUGUUUUCCUACGACACGAGCUGCAACGUAAAA